GGGGUAAGUAAAGUAAUAAAUGAGUUGCCAUUUACCAACCUAUUAGUAGGGAGGGGAGAAGAGAAUUUAUAUCGCUACGUGCUUGAUCCAAAGCGGACAAUAUCUGAAUAAAAUUCGCUCGAAAUUCCCGCCAAAAAAUAAAAAGGCGCCAAACGCUCUUACUCUUCUUCCUUUCUCUUCCAGUUCUAGAUAGAGAGAACUACAGAAAGGAAAAAAAAAAAAAAACUCCCGCAAUAAUCUUCCACAACCCUAAUUUGCUCGAUUUGAAAUCUACUGUUCUUGCUAAUUUCACCUGAUUUCUGGAAAAUUUCAGGUAAUCAAUGAAAGGAGGAACAGUUCAGAUCAAUUGGCACGACACUAAGCCUGUUCUAACCCUAGAUUUUCACCCCAUUUCUGGUCUUUUAGCCACCGGUGGUGCUGAUUUCGAUAUCAAGAUUUGGCAAGUAGACUCUGGCGAGGCAGAAAAGAAAAUUCCAACAGCUUCAUAUCGAUCGAGUCUUUCGUAUCAUAGUUCAGCAGUGAAUGUUCUUCGGUUUUCGCCUUCAGGAGAGCUCCUUGCUUCAGGUGCAGAUGGAGGUGAACUUAUAUUAUGGAAAUCUCACGUGACAGAUGCCGGUCAAGUUUGGAAAGUCCUCAAGACGCUAUCAUUUCACAGAAAGGAUGUGCUGGAUCUGCAGUGGUCCAGAAAUGGAGCUUAUAUCUUCUCUGGAUCUGUUGAUAAUUCUUGCAUCAUAUGGGAUGCUGACAAAGGUUCUGUCCAUCAGAUCUUGGAUGCACAUCUCCACUAUGUUCAGGGAGUGGCGUGGGAUCCCUUGUCUAAAUAUGUUGCAUCUCUUAGCUCCGAUAGAACUUGCAGAAUUUAUGUUAACAAGCCUCAAAAAGUAAAGGGAACAGAGAAAAUAAAUUAUGCUUGUCAGCAUGUGAUCGUGAAGGCAGAGCAGCAAUCUACAGAUGAUAGCAAGUGCUUGAAGAAUCAUCUAUUUCACGAUGAGACUUUGCCAUCUUUCUUCCGCAGAUUAGCUUGGUCACCUGAUGGCUCAUUUUUAGUGGUACCUGCUGGUAUAUACAAAUGUUCACCUGAGUCUGAAUCUAUCAACACUGCUUAUAUAUUCUCCAGAAAAGAUCUUUCAAGGCCCACUCUGCAGCUUCCUGGUGCCAAUAAGCCUGUGGUGGCAGUCCAUUUCUGUCCUUUGGCCUUUAGCCUUCGUGGAUCAAACUCAGCUGGACUCUUCAAGCUUCCAUAUCGGCUUAUUUUUGCUGUGGCAACUCUAAAUUCAUUGUACAUUUAUGACACGGAAAGUGUUGCUCCUCUGGCAAUUUUGGCUGGUCUCCAUUAUGCAGCCAUAACAGAUAUUGCAUGGUCGCCAGAUGGCAAGUAUCUAGCAUUAUCAUCACAAGAUGGAUACUGCACAUUGGUAGAAUUUCAAAGUGAUGAACUGGGAUCACCUAUCCCUUUUCCAGACGGAAAGCCAGUCAUUAGUCAUGUUGGUGAGAUUCCUAGUCAACAGAAGCCAGAGGAGGAAAUGGUGGUCAAAGCAUCCGUAAAAGGCAGCCCAAUUUUAGAAAAUAAGCAAAAUGAUGACAAACAAGCAGUGCCUGUGGCAACAAGCACUCCUGUUGCUAAAAAUCCAGUGGUGACAAACACUCCUGUCACUAAAAAUCCAGUGGCGGCAAGCACUCCGGUCGCUAAAAAUCCAGUGGCGACAAGCAUUCCUGUCUCUAACAAGCCAGCUAAGAGGCGUAUUACUCCUAUGGCAAUCGAUCCUUGACCUUCACCGAUAUCUUUGUAAAUUUCACGCUGAAGUCAUCUUUCUGCUUCUGAUGUAAGAGAUAAGGAGUGUCCUGAUUCUCCACGUGAUUGAUUCGGAGUUUAUAAAAUUCCACAAUGUCAAAUGGUGUGCAGACUGCAGUACUACAGUUAGAAGAUUACUAUGGCACUGAUCGUAUUAGCAUCUUUAAUAACAAUGCAGCUGAAAGGAAUGCUAGAAAGAAAAGGCCUCCAAGGGACACGAAAACAAUAAUGAUGGUACCGUGGUGCCCAGGAGCAGGAGGUGGUGGCAGUGGAGGGGUGGGGGUGAUGUGAGGAGGUGGUGGUGGAAGUUUUGGUGGCAGUGGUGGUGGUUUUACUGCUGGAGCUGGCGGAGGCAAAGGAUGCGGAGGUGGUCUUGGUGGAGGAUUUGAGGGCUUUGGUGGAGGGAGAGAAUGUGGAGGUGGUUUUGGUUUUGGUGCUGGAGGAGGGUUUGAGGGCUUUGUUGGUGAUGGAGGUGGUUUAGGUUUUGGUGCUGGUGGAGGGUUAGAGGGCUUUGCUGGUGAUGGAGGUGGUUUAGGUUUCGGCGAUGGUGGAGGGUUAGAGGGCUUUGCUGGUGAUGGAGGUGGUUUAGGUUUCGGUGCCGGUGGAGGGUUAGAGGGCUUUGCUGGUGAUGGAGGUGGUUUAGGUUUCGGCGAUGGUGGAGGGUUCAACGGCUUUAUUGGUGAUGGUGGGGUUGGUUUUGGUGGAGAAAUGGGAUGAAAAGGAGGUGGUAGGUAUGGUGGAGAAAUGGGAUGAAAGGGAGGUGGUAGUUUCGGUGGGAAUAGGUAACUAUGUGGUGGCGGGAAAGGGAAAAAUGGAUAGUUAAAAUUUUGAGGUUGAGCCAUAGAAGUUGAUUGUUAUUUGGGAAAUUAGAGUAUUAAAUGAUAGUUCUUAGCACUUAGCAGAUGUUGUGUUUCGACUCUAUACAUUAUACGCAUUUAUAUAAACCCCAAUUUCAUUGA